UUUUUACCACUGAUCUCGCAAAAGACUGUUCAAGUCCCUUUUACAGACAGACUGGUAGCGGUGAAGACCAUCUCCCCAUAGCUUUGCUAUUUGUAUAAAGUUACCGAAAAGUG